rnacentral:rRNA from 1 species
CGGGACGGGUGAGUAAUGUCUAGGGAAACUGCCGAUGGAGGGGGAUAACUACUGGAAACGGUAGCUAAUACCGCAUAACGUCGCAAGACCAAAGAGGGGGACCUUCGGGCCUCUUGCCAUCGGAUGUGCCCAGAUGGGAUUAGCUAGUAGGUGGGGUAAAGGCUCACCUAGGCGACGAUCCCUAGCUGGUCUGAGAGGAUGACCAGCCACACUGGAACUGAGACACGGUCCAG